GUUGAACGCUGGCGGCAUGCCUUACACAUGCGAGUCGAACGGCAGCACGGGUGCUUGCACCUGGUGGCGAGUGGCGAACGGGUGAGUAAUACAUCGGAACAUGUCCUGUAGUGGGGGAUAGCCCGGCGAAAGCCGGAUUAAUACCGCAUACGAUCUACGGAUGAAAGCGGGGGACCUUCGGGCCUCGCGCUAUAGGGUUGGCCGAUGGCUGAUUAGCUAGUUGGUGGGGUAAAGGCCUACCAAGGCGACGAUCAGUAGCUGGUCUGAGAGGACGACCAGCCACACUGGGACUGAGACACGGCCCAGACUCCUACGGGAGGCAGCAGUGGGGAAUUUUGGACAAUGGGCGAAAGCCUGAUCCAGCAAUGCCGCGUGUGUGAAGAAGGCCUUCGGGUUGUAAAGCACUUUUGUCCGGAAAGAAAUCCUUGGCCCUAAUACGGUCGGGGGAUGACGGUACCGGAAGAAUAAGCACCGGCUAACUACGUG
rnacentral:rRNA from 1 species